UAUUACAAUUCUCGACUUAGU
rnacentral:piRNA from 1 species